CUACAAAUUUUCAUCCAAGGGUUAAAAACUUGAUAGCAAAAAGAGCGUUUACUAUUAAUAGUAUUCCAGCCUAAUUUUAUAUAUAUAUAUAUAUAUAUAUAUAUAUAUAUAUAGUUAGGCUGGUAUACUAUCGGUAGCACAGUGGCCUCCAUGCCACCAAGUUGCUUUCAAUGAUGUGGCUUCCAAAUCGACGAUCGGCUCUGUUAGACUUGAUCUACACUAUUAAAAAUAUUUGAAAACUAAAUUUCAUAAUUUUUCGACAUCAUUUGGUUAGUGAUCAAAUGGUCUCAAAAUUGACAUUUUUAAUGGCAGAUGUGAUGCGUUUGUGAAUUUAACGGUGUAAAAUAAUCUAAAUCUGAUAAAAUUUUUAUAGAAAAUUCUUUUCACUAUUUAAAGUAAGAUCAGUACCUCUGAUCUUAAAUUCAAGUCUUUUAUCAUCAUUUUUUAGGAAAAACUUCAAAAAACCCCCUGUGGUUUCGUAAUUUCUCACUUUGCCCCCCUGUGGUUUCAAAUGUAUCAAAUUGCCCCUAUGUGGUUUCGUUUUUAUCUUUUCGAUAGCUUUUUCGUUAAUAUUUCAUUAAAUUAUAUAAAAAAAACUUCAGAUACCCAUCUAGAUUUAUCAAAUAUUCACUUUAGUACCCUUUAAUUUUAACUUUAUCACUGAUUUAAGAAAAAUAAAUAAAAUUGAUAAGAAAAAGAGAAAAAAGAAACCACAGGGGAGCAAAUUGAUACAUUUUAAAUCACAGGGGGGGCAAAGUGAGAAACUACGAAACCACAUGGAAGGUUUUUGAAGUUUUCCCCAUUUUUUAUGAGAUUUUUAUUUUCAGCCGUUCAUUUUUAGACUACUCGUUUGAUAGGUAAAUGAUACCGAAAAAUUAUAAAAUUUAGUUUUCAAAUACUUUUUAUAGUGUAGAUCACGGAGCCGAUCGUCGAUUUGGAAGCCAUAUCAUUGAAAAUAAUUUGGUAGCACAGAGGCCUCCGUACUACCGAUAGUAUAACAGCCUAACUCUAAUUUUUUUUAUAAUUUAUUUGAUCCUAGUAAAUCUUCGUAAAU
rnacentral:lncRNA from 1 species